GAUGAACGCUGGCGGCGUGCCUAAUACAUGCAAGUCGAGCGAACAGACGAGGCGCUUGCUCCUCUGACGUUAGCGGCGGACGGGUGAGUAACACGUGGAUAACCUACCUAUAAGACUGGGAUAACUUCGGGAAACCGGAGCUAAUACCGGAUAAUAUAUUGAACCGCAUUGUUCAAUAGUGAAAGACGGUUUUGCUGUCACUUAUCGAUGGAUCCGCGCCGCAUUAGCUAGUUGGUAAGGUAACGGCUUACCAAGGCAACGAUGCGUAGCCGACCUGAGAGGGUGAUCGGCCACACUGGAACUGAGACACGGUCCAGACUCCUACGGGAGGCAGCAGUAGGGAAUCGUCCGCAAUGGGCGAAAGCCUGACGGAGCAACGCCGCGUGAGUGAUGAAGGUCUUCGGAUCGUAAAACUCUGUUAUUAGGGAAGAACAAAUGUGUAAGUAACUAUGCACGUCUUGACGGUACCUAAUCAGAAAGCCACGGCUAACUACGUG
rnacentral:rRNA from 1 species